rnacentral:rRNA from 1 species
AUGCCCGAAAGGGUAGACCUCCCACCCUUGUGUAUUAUUACUUUGUUGCUUUGGCGAACCUCAGGGCUCGCCAGAGGAUAUCAAAACUCUUUUUAUUAAUGUCGUCCGAGUACUAUAUAAUAGUUAAAACUUUCAACAACGGAUCUCUUGGUUCUGGCAUCGAUGAAGAACGCAGCGAAAUGCGAUAAGUAAUGUGAAUUGCAGAAUUCAGUGAAUCAUCGAAUCUUUGAACGCACAUUGCGCCCCUUGGUAUUCCGGGGGGCAUGCCUGUUCGAGCGUCAUUUCAACCCUCAAGCUCAGCUUGGUAUUGAGCCCAUGUCAGCAAUGACAGGCUCUAAAAUCAGUGGCGGCGCCGCUGGGUCCUGAACGUAGUAAUAACUCUCGUUACAGGUUCUCGGUGUGCUUCUGCCAAAACCCAAAUUUUUCUAUGGUUGACCUCGGAUCAG